GGGGGGGGGGGGGGGGGGGCGGGGCGGGUGCGAGGCGAACGGAGGGGCCCAAGCUGGCUUGGGUGCUCGAGGGGCGAACGGGUGAGUAACACGUGGGGGAUCUGCCCUGCACUUCGGGAUAAGCCUGGGAAACUGGGUCUAAUACCGGAGAGGCCCACAUCUUGGUUGGGGUGGUGGAGAGUUUUUCGGUGUGGGAGGAGCUCGCGGCCUAUCAGCUUGUUGGUGGGGUAAUGGCCUACCAAGGCGUCGACGGGUAGCCGGACUGAGAGGGUGUACGGCCAGAAUGGGACUGAGAUACGGCCCAGACGCCUACGGGAGGCAGCAGUGGGGAAUAUUGCACAAUGGGCGCAAGCCUGAUGCAGCGACGCCGCGUGGGGGAUGACGGACUUCGGGUUGUAAACUCCUUUCGCGAGGGACGAAGCGUUAUGUGACGGUACCUGGAGAAGAAGCACCGGCUAACUACGUG
rnacentral:rRNA from 1 species